UGAGCAAACCUGCCCCCAGACACUGGGGAUAAGCGCUCGAAAGGGCGUCUAAUACCCGGAUAUGAACUCAUGCGGCAUCACAUGAGUUGGAAAGCUCCGGCGGUCUGGGAUGGGCUCGCGGCCUAUCAGCUUGUUGGUGAGGUAACGGCUCACCAAGGCUUCGACGGGUAGCCGGCCUGAGAGGGCGACCGGCCACACUGGGACUGAGAUACGGCCCAGACUCCUACGGGAGGCAGCAGUGGGGAAUAUUGCGCAAUGGGCGGAAGCCUGACGCAGCAACGCCGCGUGCGGGAUGACGGCCUUCGGGUUGUAAACCGCUUUCAGCAGGGACGAAGCGCAAGUGACGGUACCUGCAGAAGAAGCACCGGCCAACUACGUGC
rnacentral:rRNA from 1 species